UAUAUGGUCACUCCCGCAGGCGGCCCGUGACUCAGUUCCACUUCCACCUACGUUUCCCCUCGUUUGGUUAUCUGGAGGAGCAUGCUAGGCGGUAUGGGAGGCGCAUUCAUUGGAGGUUGAUCAUGGAGAUGACACGGAUCUGAGCGGAGUGAGUUGCUGGUCUGGAGGCGGAGGGGAAUCUCCGGCAGGUCUGGGCCUACGGCACUGGCACGAGCACUGCCGGCGGUGCUAUCCCGCGCCGGGUACCCGGGCGCGCAUCGCCGCUGGUUAUCUCCCACGCCGGCGGUGUUGUGCGGAUCCACCAAGAAGGAUGAUUAGCCCGGAUGUCUCGGUUUCGUAGGUCAUAACAAGCAUAUGGAGAAGGGAGCUGAGUAGAUGCAUCGGUUGCUGGAUUGGGAAGGGUAGGGGAAACAUGAGAUUCCGGCGGAGCGGCAGGCGGACAUAGAAGUGCACCGCCAACGAGGAGAUCAGCAGCCGGUGGGUGUUCUCUCGAACCAUCAGGUAAAUCUGUGUUCAUUGACUUUGGGGGCGAACCCUAUAUUGCAGUUUGGGGAUUUUUAAGUUGCAGGUGCCACCGCAGGUUAGAUUUGUGAGUGGACUAGCCCUUAUGUAUCUUCUAUGUAGCCCGAGUUCAGGUGCGUCUUGCAACGGCAUCAUGCAGGUACGGAAUCCAGAGAACAUCAUCUGUAAUGGAAAAGCAGAUGACAUGGGUUUGGUUUGUGGGGUGAAAAUCACAUAGGGUUUCGCAAUUGCUUAUUUUCCGUAGUGAUCCAUUCUGCGUGCCUUGGUCAGUCCAACCUGGAUAAUCAUGCAGGUACUGUAUUCUUGCCCCAGUAUCAGUCGCAGUGUACAUGGGCUUGGUUGUGAAAGGUGUACAGAAAGUGGGUAGUUCUUGGGGUAGAUGACUAGAUUUUGCAGAUUGCAUCUCUGAUGUGCAAAGUACAGCCAUGUACUCCUUGGAUGCAAGAUACAACAUUGGUUGUUUUUGUUCAGUGGAGAGUGCGACACGAUUGAUGAUGUGUGUAGCACGAUUACGACAUUACCUCCUUGUCCAUCUAUUUUAAUGUUUAUGGAAAUUAUAUUGAUGUGAA